UAUGCAAGUCAGCUGACCCAGCCAGGCAGUAGAUCUUUACAAAAUCUUUAGUUUUCCAUCCUCCUCCUAAGCUUGUUUGAUGAAGAAAAUAAUAUUUAAUUGGUAACAUUUUCCUUGCUUAGGUAUAUUUUAAUUAUGAAUUCUGCCUGAUUGCAACUUUCUGGACCCGUCUCAUUCAUUUCUCAGGAAGCUCCUGCUCUUGGAUUGAAUCAGUGUUGUAUAGCAAAGGACACUGUUGCCUGUCAACCCGUGCCUCAUUUGUUGUGGAAGCUGGAAGGUGUGUGGUGAAUGAAGGCAGGGGACUGCAGAAAAAUGAAGGGUGGUCUCAUGAUCAAG